CCUACGGGUGGCAGCAGUGAGGAAUAUUGGUCAAUGGCCGGAAGGCUGAACCAGCCAUGCCGCGUGAAGGUCAGUGCCCUAUGGGUUGUAAACUUCUUUUAUAAAGGAAUAAAACGAGGCACGUGUGCCUUUUUGCAUGUACUUUAUGAAUAAGGAUCGGCUAACUCCGUGCCAGCAGCCGCGGUAAUACGGAGGAUCCGAGCGUUAUCCGGAUUUAUUGGGUUUAAAGGGAGCGUAGAUGGGUUGUUAAGUCAGUUGUGAAAGUUUGCGGCUCAACCGUAAAAUUGCAAUUGAUACUGGCAGUCUUGAGUACAGUUGAGGUAGGCGGAAUUCGUGGUGUAGCGGUGAAAUGCUUAGAUAUCACGAAGAACCCCGAUUGCGAAGGCAGCUUACUAAACUGUGACUGACAUUGAUGCUCGAAAGUGUGGGUAUCAAACAGGAUUAGAUACCCCUGUAGUC
rnacentral:rRNA from 1 species